GGGCGGAUAGCUCAGCUGGGAGAGCACCUGCCUUACAAGCAGGGGGUCACAGGUUCGAGCCCUGUUUCGCCCACCA
rnacentral:tRNA from 1 species